rnacentral:lncRNA from 1 species
AGAAGGCUUAUCUGGUUUCAUUGUGGCUAGAUAGUGGAUUGCCCACUGGGCCUGAUUAAUAGUAGUCCAUGGGGCUAAUUUUAUUUAUUAGUAUUUUAGUGGACCUAUUUUAUUUGGGGCCAUUUAUUUAUUUAUUUGAUUAUUAUUUUAGGGUUAGUUUUUAUUCUAUUUAAAGAAGGCUUUGUUACGAUGAAAAGACAGAUAAUGUUUGAUAAUAUUGAGAAACCCUAGUUUUCUUCCUCUUUCUUCUAGAUUCUGGUAAAAUGCCAAACUUCCCCCCUUCCCUUCUACAAUUCUGGUUCGAUGAUCUAUUUUGUUUGAGAUUGCUUGUUGUCUUGCAUCAGAAGAUGUCCUUGGGCUAUGUCCUCGUCGACUUGAUAGUGGGGGAGCAUUCACUCAGCGGCGAAGUUUCACGUCAGCGAUGCAUAGACUAGCUAUCACAUAAUUUUGGAAAGAACUUGGAAGCAUCGUUUUGGUGUUAUCCCCUAUAGUUAUCAACAUUGUAUAAAGGCUUUCUUAGGGGAGAGGAAGUAACAAUUGAGGCAUCAGAAAAGCCCUUCGAUGUAGAUAAGACCCUGAUCUUUACAGAUCUGUCGAUGGAUGAGCCCCCGAUAACUACGAAGCCUCGUGGUGUGAAAAUUCCUCAUUGGGAGGAUAUCAAGGAUGAUGGGGUAGGGCACGCUGAGCCUAACCAAGGGAAGGCGAUGCCAAAGUCAACCCCAAAUGUUAUUGAGCUAGGAGAAAGCAAGGGUGAAGCUGGUUCGUGAAUCCUAACCCUGUCGAAAGAUCUCUAAGGUUAGACAUGGGGAAGAUUGUGUAUUAUUUGUCACAGUUGAGGGGAUGACCCCCGCAGCCAGCGAGGGGAGUUCCCAACAUCGAUCCUGCGAGCUGAACCACUGUGGGGAGGACAAAGGAGAAGUGUUGGAGGUAAAGGAAGUCAUAAUCAAGCCAGAUAUGGCACCAGAGUGCAUGGAGGAGGGGCCUAAACCGUAGCAGGAACCUCUUGAAGAAAUAAAAAUGCGACAAGGGCAGGGCUCUUCGCAGCAUUGUUUGUGAACAAGUCCUUGGCAACUGAAGGGACAGUCGUCGAACUAUUGAGAAAGUAUUCAGAUGUGUUCGCUUGCGGGUAUGAUAAAAUUCUAGGGUUGGAUCCAUCACUGGUUGCGCAUUACUUGGACAUUUCCCAAACUAUAAGCUUGUGAAACAAGCGAUGUGCAAGUACCACCCAGACUUAGAAGAUAAGAUCCAUGAGGAGAAUGAGAAGCUAAGAACGAUUGGUUUCAUCCAACAAUCCAAUAUCUAAGCUGGCUUGUGAAUAUCUUGCUAGUGAAGCAGAAAAAAAUGGGCAAAUUAGGGUUUGCGUGGAUUUUCGGGAUUUGAAUAAGUCCUGCCCCGAGGAUGAGUUCCAUUUGCCACAGGUGGAUACUCUCACUUGAUGUCACUGCUGAACACCAGAUGUUUUCGUCCAUGAAUGGAUUCAGUGGUAAAAUCAGAUCAAGAUGGCAAGGGUCGAUGCAAAGAAGACACCUUUUAGAACACUCUUGGGGAAUUUCUACUACACAAUUAUGCCCUUCGGACUGAAGAACGAAGGAGCGACAUACCAAAAGGUUAUUACUGCAAUUUUCCAUGACUUGUAUUGGUUCAAUAUUUAUUUUGACGAUAUUUGAUAGCGUCAAGAUUGUAUCAUGAAUAGGCUUAAUAUUGAUAUAUUAAUAUGGUAUUAUUUAAUAUAAAAUGUAUAUAUGCAUUAUACUCUUAAUAGCAUUGUCUAUGUUACUAAUACAUAUAUAUUAAAUGCAUUAGGUGAUGUGUUGUGAUCAUUGAGUUGCAUGCUAUAUAUGAUGGUAUAUCUAUAUUAACUUAGUGAACCAUAGUUAUUAGAAUCGAACCGGUACGUGAACCGGUCAAGGCACUGGUUCAUUGGUCCAACCGAGGUUCAACCGGUCAUAUAAUUAAUAAAUAAAAAAUCAUAAUUUAAAUUAAAAAACAUAUUUAAAAAGUCUUUUAAAUUAAACUUCUAGUUCAUACUCACAAUCUAAAAUACAAUUAAGCUCCAAUUCCAUAAAGUCCAUUCAUCAUCCUGUCCAGUAGUAAGAGGCUCAUAUUCUAGUACCCAAAUGGAAAAAGUUGGAACGAAAGUCCUCGAAGUCAAGAGAGUUAUAAUUUCGAUCUUUAAAGUAUUCCUACACAAAAAGUUUAUCCCUUAAUGAAUUAACUAUAAUCUUUAAAGAUUACAUAAGUAAAAUACUACUACAACAAACCGAAUAGCAUAUCACAGUUUAUAAUUUAUGAAUUUUACCUUUGUUGUAAGCGCAAGUUGUAAUGCAGGUAAACAAGAUCAUUAAGUCUUUGGUGUUCCAACCUGUUUCGCUUUUUCAUGUGAAUGUGUUCAUAUAUGUUCCAAUUAUGCUCACAACUCGAAGAAUUACAUGUUUGACUUAGCACUCGUAUUGCUAAUUUUUGAAGAUGUGGUGUACUACUUCCAUAGCAUAGCCACCAU